rnacentral:rRNA from 1 species
AGGACGAACGCUGGCGGCGUGCUUAACACAUGCAAGUCGAACGAUGAAGCCUAGCUUGCUAGGUGGAUUAGUGGCGAACGGGUGAGUAAUACGUGAGUGACCUACCUUUGACUCUGGGAUAAGCCUGGGAAACUGGGUCUAAUACCGGAUACGACCAAUCUCCGCAUGGGGUGUUGGUGGAAAGCGUUAUGGAGUGGUUUUAGAUGGGCUCACGGCCUAUCAGCUUGUUGGUGAGGUAAUGGCUUACCAAGGCGACGACGGGUAGCCGGCCUGAGAGGGUGACCGGCCACACUGGGACUGAGACACGGCCCAGACUCCUACGGGAGGCAGCAGUGGGGAAUAUUGCACAAUGGGCGCAAGCCUGAUGCAGCGACGCGCGUGAGGGAUGACGGCCUUCGGUUGUAAACCUCUGUUAGCAGUCGAAGAAGACGAAAAGUGACGGGUAGGUAGACGAAGAAGAAAGCCGGACCCGGACUAACGUACGU